AUCCAUCUGACUAGUUCCGAAUAGGACGAAAAACGUGUCCUGGAU
rnacentral:hammerhead_ribozyme from 1 species